rnacentral:rRNA from 1 species
AUGAACGCUGGCGGCGUGCCUAAUACAUGCAAGUCGAGCGAACGGACGAGAAGCUUGCUUCUCUGAUGUUAGCGGCGGACGGGUGAGUAACACGUGGAUAACCUACCUAUAAGACUGGGAUAACUUCGGGAAACCGGAGCUAAUACCGAAUAAUAUUUUGAACCGCAUGGUUCAAAAGUGAAAGACGGUCUUGCUGUCACUUAUAGAUGGAUCCGCGCUGCAUUAGCUAGUUGGUAAGGUAACGGCUUACCAAGGCAACGAUGCAUAGCCGACCUGAGAGGGUGAUCGGCCACACUGGAACUGAGACACGGUUCAGACUCCUACGGGAGGCAGCAGUAGGGAAUCUUCCGCAAUGGGCGAAAGCCUGACGGAGCAACGCCGCGUGAGUGAUGAAGGUCUUCGGAUCGUAAAACUCUGUUAUUAGGGAAGAACAUAUGUGUAAGUAACUGUGCACAUCUUGACGGUACCUAAUCAGAAAGCCACGGCUAACUACGUG